GACGAACGCUGGCGGCGUGCUUAACACAUGCAAGUCGAACGGAAAGGCCCUGCUUUUGUGGGGUGCUCGAGUGGCGAACGGGUGAGUAACACGUGAGUAAACCGCCCUUGGCUUUGGGGUAACUUCAGGGAAAUGGGGCUAAUACCGGAUAUAACCUCCUGUGUCGCGUGGUGUGUUGGUAAGAUGCGGCGUUUGGGGAUGGACUCGUGGCUGUUCAGCUUGUUGGUGGGGUGGUGGCUUACCAGGGCAUUGACGGGUAGCCGGCCUGAGAGGGUGACCGGCCACAUUGGGACUGAGAUGCGACCCAGAAGGCUACGGGAGGCAGCAGUGGGGAAUAGUGCAAGAUGGGCGGAGGCCUGAUGCAGCGACGCCGCGUGCGGGAGGACGGCUUUCGGGUUGUAAACAGUUUGCGCCUGUGAAGAAGAGUGAGUGACGGUAACGGGUAAAGAAGCACCGGCUAACUACGUG
rnacentral:rRNA from 1 species